rnacentral:lncRNA from 1 species
UGUCUCCCAAUUGGUGAAUGCUUCCAGAUAAGAGAAUCCCCUAGCUUAGGGUUAGAAUGUGGCUCUAUCCCACAGCCCUUCAGAAGCAUCAACCAGACUAAUUGCGCUUCGGUUGCUUUGGGGCUGGUGCAAUUUCUUUAUUUCUUUAUUUGCUUUGUCAACAGAAGUUGUGUCUUCAGGCACCUCGUGGCCUGCAUUGCCGGCAGCCAGGGCUGGGGAAGGAGGAGGCCUGGACCAGGCGGAUGGAGCCAGGAGACGGAUGGAGCGAGAUGCCUGCGCGCCGGGCGCCUGUUACCUAGCAACCCGCCGAGAUCGCCCAAAAUGAAUAGACCCACAAACAAAAAUGAAAAGGAGAUAAAAAAGAGUAAAAGUCUAUGGGGCUCAAAGGUUAAUAUUCCUCUAUCUAAUAACUUAGUUUCAGAAAAUUGCGUUUUAACCUUUUCGAAGCAUUCAGGAGAGAGAUUUCUGUUAAAUUAAAUUAGAUCACAUUUGUAUGAAAUGGGGGGAGAGAAAUUAAAUGCAGAAUUUAUUAUUUUUUCCAUCUUCCUGCCCAGUAUUUUUGCAAUUCCUUGUAUUUUCUGUUGACUGCCACUGCUCCGCUCCCCUUCUGGCUCCGAUGCAGCCAGCGGGCUGGGGGGAACUAUUGGUGGCUGUGGGGGGCUGGCUGGUGUGAGGCACUCUGACAUUACUGGGGCUUUCAUAGAAUUUUCUCCAAGGGAGACAGAAGAUCUUCCUCAGUGCAGGAUAAUUAAACCUUGCAUCAUCUCCUCUGUAGCCCCCAUCCAUCUCGCACAGAGGAAGGAGCAGUGAGGGACACAUUGAAAUUCACAAAGCAAAAACCUGGUAGGAACAAGAGUGAGAUCUGGGACAUGUUUCUUGCUUGGAAAUCUUGCUGCUUCCUAUGAAAUUCCCAUUCUGCCAGAUACCAACAUCCACAACAGCCUUGGAGUGCCAGCCUCCAACCCGUGUAGACAUGGUCUGAAGUCUGCAACACAGCUGGGAGUGAUCAAAAACAGAGGAGCCUGUGGCAGACUACACUGAACUCUCAGGAGCCCCUCCCUUAGAAUCACAGAAUCGUUCAGGUUGCAAAAGACCUCUGAGAUCUGC